GGGAAACAGGCAAAUGAAACAUAAGGCUUUCGUACAAUUUCCCAGUUAGCUCGUUAUGAUUGGAUUGUAGCCACUUUACAGACACUUGAACAACCCGCCUCUCUGCAACAAUUCCCACGGGAGUCUAGAUUCUUCACUGUGGGUAAACACUGCCACGAGCGCACGAAAACACCAAGGCGCGUUUUUUUCCGCCUAGAAAGGUUCCAGAAGGAUUGUAGAGGUCACGUAGGAUCAUUCGUAUACAGAUACAAGAUUACUCUCUCGAAUCCAAACUGUCCAUUACGUAAUGUCGUUUUAUAUCACAUCGCAUGCCAAGGUCUAACAUUGUUAAAGAGAACACAAACAUCUCAAGCGGAGAACUGGGAGAAACGGGAGAAAGUGGUGAACACUAUACGCCACAUGCCCUCCUCCCUCCUCGCUUGGUCCUCCUCCCCUCGCUCACAGUCUCUCCCUCCCUCCCCUCCCGCUCUGUGACGGAGAGAAUGCCCGUGUUGUACUGACAGAAACGUUACGGGCUUAGCAGGCAUGGAGGCCCGAUUAAUGAGAGAGGCCCAUUCCGACACGUCCAAGCUCGACUAACACUGUCCCGGAGAAGGAUUCCGGCGACAUUCUGGGAUACGACGGAUAAUUACCGCUGUACAGAAAAAGAAGGAGUGGGAGAAGAAAUACAGGGAGAGAUCCAUUUCGGGUCUCUGUUGAUUCAACGCAGCCGCCAUUUUGUUGACACACUUGCAACAAAAAUACUGUGGCGACCAUGUUGAUACACAAGAAGGGAGGAUUUUGAUCCAAAUUAUGUGAGCUCCGUUUUUGGACCGCUAUUAAGAUUGAAGGUGAGAGGGCUGGCCAGCCAGGAAAGGGACAACUGCACCACUGCCAGGAGAGGAUUGCUUUUUCAGAUCUCUCUCUCAACCCCCCUUUCCCCUUCCCCUUUACUCCCCCUCCCUCCUCCUGCUGAACCUUUGCCUCCCUCCCCAGCACCAGUGAGAGAACUCUUGACCUGACGGCCGCACCUACCAUUUCCCCACAUAA